GACGAACGCUGGCGGCGUGCUUAACACAUGCAAGUCGAACGGAAAGACGCUGCGUUUGUUGGGUGCACGAUAGGCGAACGGGUGAGUAACACGCGAGGAACCUGCCCUUGACUGUGGGAUAACUUCAGGGAACAGGGGCUAAUACCGGAUAGGAGCUCCUGCUGCAUGGUGGGGAUUGGAAAGUUUCGGCGGUUGUGGAUGGACUCGAGGCUUAUCAGCUGGUUGGGGGGGUAGUGGCUGCCGAGGGCUUUGACGGGUAGCCGGCCUGAGAGGGUGACCGGGCACCAUGGUCCUGCGGUAGGGAGCAGAAGCGUAUCGUACGCAGCAGGCGGGAACAUUGCAGAACGGGGGGGCGUGUGAUGUAGAAGCGUUCCGUGCGUAAUGCCGGCUUUCGGGUUGAAAACCGAUGUCGACGGUGCUGAAGAGUGCGUGACGGUACCGGGUAAGGAAGCACCGGCUAACUACGUG
rnacentral:rRNA from 1 species